UGGAACUUGCAUUUAGAAAGUAUUGAGUGCAACAGAUUUUAAGCAUGGAUAGAAACAUCAAAUGUGGAAAAGCGGUCAGAUUGGAUUUCGUAAGAAAUAAUAUGGAUUGGAUGGAACAGUGGCACAGUGGAAUCCCGAUAGUUCGUGCAUCGAUUAUUCGUAUUUCCGCCUAGUUCGUACAAAAUUGGCGGUUCCCAGAGUAAAUUUUCUUUAUUUUUGGACUCCCGAUAUUUGGUUUAAGUUAAUAAGUGUGUGAAGAGUUCCUGACAAAUUGGCCGACCCGAAAACCUGACUCCAAGUUAGUCUGAUAAAGGGAAUAUCAAGAAACAUCCAAAAAGACCAGCAACUCGGAUAAAAUAAGAAAUUAACCAGCAGUGUAAUCUGAAUAUGUUGGUUUGCAUCGUAAAACGUAGAUUAUAUGACUUGUGCUAAUGGGAAGAAUUGAACAGCAAGGAUAAAAUAAAGUUUUUUGAACGCCACCCCAGUUGAAAUACUGUCCUCUAGAGUGACGAAAAAUAUGAUCAUGUAUCAGAUGAAAGGGCUCGACUAUCAAUUUUCGAAGCUGAUCUUUAGGUGAACACAGGGGAGUAAAGGCUCAAAAUGUUUGCCCCAAACACUGAAACCGAUGUCAUUCUCAAAACCUACCCAACCGAUAAAUCUGAAAAAAUCACAGUGAUGCAUCCCUACAAUAUCUAGGCCUUGAAAUACAUCUCGU